rnacentral:rRNA from 1 species
UACAGAGGGUGCAAGCGUUAAUCGGAUUUACUGGGCGUAAAGCGUGCGUAGGCGGUUCAUUAAGUCGGUUGUGAAAUCCCUGGGCUUAACCUGGGAACUGCAGUCGAUACUGGUGGACUAGAGUACGGUAGAGGGUGGCGGAACUCCGGGUGGUAGCGGUGAAAUGCGUAGAUAUCCGGAAGAACACCGAUGGCGAAGGCAACCACCUGGGCCUGUACUGACGCUGAGGUACGAAAGCGUGGGGAGCAAACAGGG